UUCUUUAUGUUUAUUACACAUACUAAAGAUAACAUUUGAAAUCAUCUUUUAUUUUACAAUUUCUCCAUCACUUACAGCUGGACAGCAAACUGACCCACCAUGUGAGAAGUUCAGCUCCUCUGCUGUAGAGACCAUAUGGAGAGGCCCUGGGAUUACACAGAGAGGGAGAGGCACCCAGCUGAGCCCAGCCCCCAGCUAUCCCCACAGGUAGCUAUGAGGAGGCCCCUGGAUCCUGAGGAGAGGACACUGAAGAUGGCAGUAAAGAAUCUUUCUUGGGUGUCUAGCCUUCUUCUCUCCCUCACUGGAGGGGAAAGAAGACACGUGUCCUGAUUGCCAUUGGCAGCCACCGUAGGAACGACCGGAAUCAGACUCAAGACCCAGUAUGAACUCUAGCUGACAUCCCCGAAACUCUUUGGACCCCAGUUUAAAACAACUGAAUCCAACGGAACAUCUUCAUUGCCCAAAGGGGGAAACUGAGGCCCAGAGAACAACAGGAAUCGGUGCCUUUGUGUGGGGCCCUGACGAGUGUGCCUCACACGCAUGGGCUAACUUUCCCAAAGUCGCACUGCAGGUGAGUGACAGCUGAGGUUGGAGGCCAAGGCUGCUGGUCUCCCCUCUGGGCCCUCAGCUGGAAGGAUGAGAGAUCUGGCCAGCAGAGGAGGGCCUGCCUCAGGCCUGGCCGCCCUCCCUGGAGCACUGGGGCACGCGCAGGCCAGAGGCGAUCACAGAAGACUGCGUCUGGCAACAACUUCAU